rnacentral:rRNA from 1 species
UCUAUAUUGAGAUAGGAAACGCUUGAGUAGUAAUUAGUUAUUUGCUUGAAAUUUAAAGAAUUUGGCGGUAUUUUAGUCAAGUUAGAGGAACCUGUCCUGUAAACGAUAUACCACGAAGAAUCUUACUAUAUUAGGUUAUUCAGUUUGUAUACCGUCAUUAUUAGGUAAUUUUAAUAAGAAUUAUCGUCGUAGAUUAUUCUAGUAUAUUAGAUCAAGGUGCAGCUUAUAAUAUAGAAGAGAUGGGUUACAAUGUAUUUAUAUACAAACGGAUGAAAAAGGGAAAUGUUUUUUAAAGGUGGAUUUAAUAGUAAAGAUAUUUUAAUAUGGUAUUUUGAUAAAAGCUCUAAA